AAGCAAGGUCCUGAAACAGGUUAUUGGAAGUUCCUGGUGAUGGCAGCCAUUCUCUGAUUUCUUGCAUUGAGCUUCCAGUUCUCAUGUGUGACAGGCAGUUGGGAAAGCAGCUGGUGGGGAAUGCAGCAGCUUCUUGACAACCGAAUCACAGCUAGUAUGAUGUAUCCUUGAACUAAACAGUCCAGUGGUCAUCCCCUGACUGCUGCUGCCCCAGCUCAUCCAAUCAUUUGCUUCUUUGAUUCCUGGGCCAGGUGCAUAUUUUGCUCCGUGAUGAAGGACAUCAACAAGUUUCUGUUGCAGAAUACCCCCAACAUUCAAACUGGAGUUUGGAGGUGAACCAAGGUUCCACGCUGACUUCAUGAAAUAAAUUAAAUAAAAUGAAAAUUUACCAGUGUGCAGAUUCCCAGGCUGCAAUCAAGAACUGCUGGAUCUCUGUUUUCAAGAGAGAACUUCAUCA
rnacentral:lncRNA from 1 species